rnacentral:lncRNA from 1 species
AUAAGGGUACAUUUCAUCAGCCCAGGAUGCCCUGGGUGCAGCUGCUUCUUGAUGUUGUAGGUGGAGACACUGGCUGAGGCGGAGAGGACCCUGAGGCGGCCGGCUCAUGUCCCUGUGGGGUGCUGAAGUGGGGGAAGGCAACUUACUGCAUCUGAUAAUAGAGUGAUUCACCUGAAGAACUUUGGACCUCUACACAGUAUCAUCAACACUGUGGUCCUUUGAAAAAUGAAACACCAAAUAUUCCAAAUUCUCCAUAUUCAGACUUGCACUGAGGUAUCCUGCCGCUAGGAAUGCUACAUGCCAGCUUGUCAAGUCCCCUG